rnacentral:rRNA from 1 species
UUGGAGGGCAAGUCUGGUGCCAGCAGCCGCGGUAAUUCCAGCUCCAAUAGCGUAUAUUAAAGUUGUUGCAGUUAAAAAGCUCGUAGUUGAAUUUCGGGGUCAGUAGAUUGGUCGUGCCCCUGGUAUGUACUGGUCUAGUCGGUUUCUCCCUUCUGACGAACCACGAUGUCAUUAAUUUGGUGUCGUAGGAAAUCAGGACUGUUACUUUGAAAAAAUUAGAGUGUUUAAAGCAGGCAUUAGCUUGAAUACAUUAGCAUGGAAUAAUGAAAUAGGACGUUUGAUCCUAUUUUGUUGGUUUCUAGGAUCGACGUAAUGAUUAAUAGGGAUAGUUGGGGGCAUUAGUAUUCAAUUGUCAGAGGUGAAAUUCUUGGAUUUAUUGAAGACUAACUACUGCGAAAGCAUUUGCCAAGGAUGUUUUCAUUAAUCAAGAACGAAAGUUAGGGGAUCGAAGACGAUCAGAUACCGUCGUAGUCUUAACCAUAAACUAUGCCGACUAGGGAUCGGAUGAUGUUAAUUUUUUAAUGACUCAUUCGGCGCCUUACGGGAAACCAAAGUGUUUGGGUUC